AUCCAAUUGAUCAGCAAAUCUUGGAAUAAACAUGCUGUUCUAACCCAUAAACAUGGGUUAGAGGGCUGUGCAUUGUAAAUGGCUGAUUAAUUAUAGCCGUCAUUGGACUUUCGGUGUUUAUUUAUUUUUUAUUUCAUGGCUGCAACUAACAUAAGCACCAUGGUGCUCUAGUUAAAGCACUAUCAACAGUAGACUAAAAGCAAGUGAUGAGGCAUCAUGCUUAUCGACUUCGCCUGAGGUUGAGAGAAGGAGAAGCUACUUACUGCACACUCGUUCAGACAAACCUGCUAUUGACAAUUAGUUAGAACAUUUGUUAAAGAGACGCGUGUAGACCUGUCGCAAAAUGUGCUCAUUGUGCCCCAAUAACUGACCGUGAACUUUCACAUUUCUGUGAAGUUACUUUCAGCCAAAAUCGCUCUUGCUGCUUUUCAUUCCCUUGGACAAUUGAGAAGCCAGCCUCUGUUCAUUGACUAGUUUCUAAAACAGGGUCAAUUAAACGUGCAUUCGAGUUGUACUAUAGCAACGUUCUGAGUAGGAACAAAUGCACGUGGCAGCAUUGGCUGCUGUACCCUAACUCACGGCCGAUUUCACCAACUUCUGCACACUCCAGGUGAACAAAGACGAGCGAAGAUGGUGUUUCACUUUGCUACACAAAAUCCAAACAACGACAACGUAGCUCGUUUGGCUUCACAGUCCCCUAAGGAGAUCCUGAUGUUGAUUAAGUGGGCCAAGAGAAAAGACAAGGAGAGCGAAGGGCAUCUUCAGGGUGCCAUUUUGUACGUUGGAGAGCAUUGCGAUGGUGUGAGCCAAAGUUCGAAAGGCCAGACGACGGAGACGUGGUUCUCUUUAGCCUCAGUCGAAGGCCUGGCCCUUCAGGUGAUUUAAAAAUUCACAGAGGAGUGCAAGUCUUUGCUGAGUGCUGGUGGCCACAGAAAUCGGCGGGAUUCAGCUGUGAUAAUGAUCGUGAACACUCUCAGAGUGUGCUGAGACACGGAUAAAUACCACCCUGGAUAAGACACCUACAAGCUAUCAUUACUCCAUCCUUAUGAACAGGAAGUGAUGACAGAUGGCAGAGGAAGUGACCGCCUUCCCGGCUGGGGGGAAACGUUCUUGUGCCAUGCCGUGGAUGAGAUCCUUUGAAGAAAGAAGUUUCACAGCAAUUCAUGCAUCUCCAAGAUCAUUUGAACAGCCACUAAAGUGGCUGCCCAUUGUUCUUAACUCACCAUGUACCGUGUUUGCACUGUCUUAGGAAAUAUCAUUGUAAGAUGCUGCCUUUUACUGUUUGUAUAGAAGUUUUUCAUAAAGAUACAGUAUUUAUACCGUAAAAAGUCCUUAUUGCAGGGAUAACACGUGAGGAGGAUAAAGUGGCCAAGGGAAGGUCAUCAUGUCAUCUGAGGAAGCACAUACUCCAGAACAGCUCAGUAUGGGAUUGUGGAAAGGGAACUACAGAGAGUACAGAGACAGGCUAAUAAUCCACUGCAUCAGCCAUGACCUCCUGUCAUGUGAUCAAGGUUAAUUCUGGCCACUGUGCCCAGUGUUCUGAAGAGCUGGGCAAUGUACAUAGGUAGAUAUGGUGGGGGGAGGAGUUUUGGCAGGGGGGGUCCUUCCGUGUUCUGUGUAGUGCCAGUGAAUCGGUGCCUAAGGAUGCCACCACACCCGCUUCAGGGCUUUAAUGAGGCUGUCUCUCCCCCGUUGUGUGGGACACAUACCAACUGAGGGUUGUGGGGGUUGGGUUUGUAGGGGUGUGGGGGGUGGUCCUCCUCCUCCUCCUCCACUCAAUCGGCAGACGAGAGCCCGCCAUCAAACAGGGCCUUCAGAGGGCCGGGAUGAUGGCUCUGAUAGAAAUCUCCCGCUCAGCCUGCUGUAAGCUGAAGAUGAUCUACGGCUAAGAGGCCUAAAUGAUACCCUUUCAAAAGGACAGGCAUUCCCUGCAAACCCUCCCAUUGUGCUGCCUCUUAAUCCUGCUCUGCACUUCAAGGCUCGAGCUCGCUUCCAAGGCAGCUGCUACCAAUUUAGGUGGAGGGGAAAAAAAGGCCUCAAUCUCAACUGACUCGCCUUUAAAAUAGAAAAAAAAGCAUGCAGAUGCCUCGAUAAUGUAAACAACUCCCACAAACUACUCAAUGGCAUUGUCUUAUUUUUACAUUUUGUACACCUGAAU